rnacentral:lncRNA from 1 species
CAACAACCAAUCCACAUCAACAUCAUAAAUGCAAUGCAACAUAUUCGUGAAUUCUAAUGCAAGCAACCUACUAUAUCUCAUGGCAUUCAUGAUGCAUGGAUCAUGCUCAAAAUUCAUAUUUCAUUUAUUUUAAAACUUAAAGUUUAUUCCACUCACCUCUGGCUAGCUCUGACAAACUCUGUAGCAGCUGGCUCACUGCUGGGGUCCUCGGUUCCUCGGGUCCGAACCUACACAGGUGGACUCCAAUGAGGGAC